UUGACAGCCAGGGGACUAGAGUUCUAUUUAUCUGCAGAACAGGUACUGCAUGAGCAGUGACUGUGCAGAUUUCCUCCAUGCUGCAAGCCUCUACCCUACUCUGGAGUGAUUCUUCCCAAGAGCACGUUAACUGCUUCACUGCAGUGGGCCAGAGUGGCACGAUUUUUUAAGUGCCAACCUUCCUGACAUGUCAGAG
rnacentral:sRNA from 1 species